rnacentral:lncRNA from 1 species
CACAGCAAAACAAAUUGUGUUCUGUUGGAUAGGUGACUUGUAAGAGAGGAUCAUUUUCCAUUAAAAAGAAAAGAUGGGGGAAGAAAAACCUGACUAAGUUGAGGGUGGGGAGUGAUAACAAAUAACAAAACAAACAAUAGAUUCAGUGAUGAGUUAAAGAUGAAUUAGAUAUUCUUAUCAUCUGAGAAGGAAGCCAAUACAAAUCAAUAGUUCUUACAGUUCUCCAAGGGUACCCUACUUGCUAGACUUUAAAGGGAUUAGUCCAACAGCUACUCAUUAAAAAACAAAACAAAGAGUACUUACAAGUGAGAAUGGUAACCCAGCAAAGAGACCUAUGAAACUUGCAUCUUACCAAAGCUUUUUUAGUGCCCUAAUUACCAUACCUAAUACUGUGAUAGUAGAUAGUGACACCCAGUAGGUAUCUGUUGAGUGAAGAAAUCUGAUACUUAAACUCUUUAUAGAAUUGAUCUUAAGAAGUCUUCUGAUUACAUCCAAAGAUAGUACUCAUUACUGUGUCAGAUCACCCCAUCGCUAAGAAUUUUAAAUUCUUAAAUCAUAAAUGUCCUUGUUACAUAAACUGAGAUUGGUCUUUAAAGAAAAUCUAGCCAUUCAUUUUAUAUUACUCUUUAGAGAAUUAAAAUGAAUCCCUCUUCUGCCUGGCAAUCUUUCAAAUAUCUGAAGAAAGCUAUCUUGAGGAAAUAUUAGAGAGAUGCUAUUUUAUGAUUUCUCUGCACUGUAUCUCAAAACUAUUUCACCCCACGUACUGUUUCACAAUAUUAGCCAGAUACUUCUGGAAAAAAGGUUUGCAAGGCCAAAGCAAAUUUACCUGAACAUAUUCUCUUGCCUUCUAAAUUAAUUGAGCCAUCAUGUAAAGUGUCAGAAACUAUUUCCUACUGCCUCAGGACGAGCACUGUGGCAAUGGGUGAGAAGCAAAUUAGAGUUCCAAUAUGUCCUGCUAAGCAUGGGGAAGUCUGUCACUUGCCUUAGGGAUCAGGUCAGUUUCUACUGAAAGAACAUCUAUGAUGAACUAAAUACAAGGGACCCCACCCUUCAAUAGAUAUCAUGUAAGUGUUCCAUAUUCUUAUGUAGCCCUAUGGGGGAAAGAGCCCCAAUUAUGCCCAAGAUUAAUUUCCCUGCAAUCCUCUGGGAUAGUGGCUAUACACCUAAAUUAAUUUUAGUCAAGGAAUCCACAGAAAUGUGCGUUACCUUGCACACUUUAUUUGGAAACAAAAUAUGCCAAUGACAUAGCAAUUACAUCUGCCUUAAAACUGGUUGGAACUCUAAGCUUUAUGUAACUUCCUUCCUUGCCUGCUAGUCUACAGAGCAAUAUGGAAGAGUAAAGAGCAGAAGGUACAAUGCCAGGGAAAAAAAUAGCUUUUAAACCUAUAACCUAGAACAAGAAUGUUUUACCUGAGUCUGAGCUUUUUCAGAUGUAAAACAGACAGAGUAAUGCUAUUAGGCACUAUUUGCAGCACAAUCAUGGGAUACCUACCAACAAAGAACAGACAUAUAAAGCAAAUAAAAAUGUGGCUAGAGAGUUUAAUCUACAUAAGCACUUUAGUGCAGAAUCAGGCAAAAUGUCUUUAAUAUGACCAAACAUUUCACAAGCUGGCAGGACUAGGUGUAACCUAUUUCAUCAAUUCUAGGGUACUCCAUUUUGUCCACCUUGUAACAUUUCUAAAAUGGAGAUGCAUCUUCUAAUUAAUGGUAUGUCAGAGUUAACUGAGGAUAUUUCUAUAAUUUUAAUCAUAUAAACAGUGGUGAUCCUCAUAUAAGCACCUUUCAGAGGUGAGGAUAUCUAGAAUCAGGGCUUUUGUUUAGGUGGUUUUAUAUCAAAUCUAAAGCCAUUAAGGUAAUUAGAUGCAUCAAGCUGCCUUCUGAUUACCAUUGGCCUAUCAUUGUUGGGGACAUGGCUCAGAUCAUCAGUGUCGAAAAAUGAACAAGGGAAGGUCUCAACAAGGCUCUUUACUUCUGCAGAAGGGUGUGGGUACUCAAAAAGCAUGCAAAGAAGCAAAGACCCAAUUUGUCCCUAAUGCAGGUGAUGUACCUGUCCCCUUCCCAUUGGUCAGGUCAGGGCAAGCAUUAUUUCUUCUCAGUUGGCUAAUUUGAAACAAAUUGUUACUGUGAGAAGAGGGAAAGAGGAGGGGGGUUGCAGGAAGGCAUUUUGGCUGAAACCUGAGCAAAAUGGAGUAACCAAGAUUGCCUUUGAUAGAAAAGACAUUGUGUUACUUCCCACAAUUUCCCCCUUUCAUUUUUUUUUCAAAUAUUCUUUUGUUCAAAUUCUUUGAGCAUGGUUUGGCUCUCAGGCUCUAUUGUGUCCAUCAGGAGUAUAUUGGCUUGGUGGGGAAGGAGUCCCAGUUGCUUUGUUAGGGCAGUUUCUAUUAAUUUUUGAAAAAGUCCCCUGGCACAAGAAAUUAUACAACAUGCAACUAAGACACGUACACUAACUACAGCAAUUUGAGGGGUAAAGAUUGAAGCUAUUAGUCCCUUCCAUUUUUUUUUUUUAAACAAUUUUCUAUAAGGUCUGAGAAGGGGUCAUUAAUACCAGAAUUCUAUGAAAGCUCAUCUGCUAAGGUCGUUAGUCCACACAGGGCCUUGGUGAUGGUGCUGUCUGGGGCAGUGUUGUUGAGAAUGAAUGUCCAGCACUGGACACCAAUUAUUACACAGACUCCACCCUUUUCUGCCAGCAUCAUGUCUAAAGCAAGGCUAUUUUCCCAUGCCGUUUGA